UGCAAAGGAGGUUGCCAGAGCUGCCUUGCUGAUUAAGAACCUAAGGAGUUCAGAAUGUGCAUCAUACAGCAAACAGAUGGAUCCUGCAUCAGAAUACUGAAAGGAUCAAAGAGGUGGCACAGUUGAAGCUGUGAGUUUCUGUCUCCUACUCAUGCUUGGAAGCAAACAUGAUGACCUCAUAUUACUAUAGAGAGCUACAAAAUGAAAGCAUCCUGUAUCAAUCAGCCAUCAAGACAUCCUGCCUGUAGCCUCCAAAUGUAUGUGCAGAAAACUCAACUUUUGGAUUGGCAUCAGCUAGCUUCAGCAUUGGUGUAUUUAGCUUUUGUCUGGAUGACCUGCCUUUGACAGAUGAGGGUGGGUGAAGUGACUUGUCGCACCUAUCUCGACCAGCAAGAAGGACACAACCACGACUCUUCUUCAAGCAGUUUAUUCAGGAACCUUGUACAUCAGCUUCUCCUUCUACUUCUACCUCAGCUUCUCUCUCUGCUUCUUCUAUAUCUCUCCCAGCCCCCUGGCAAGCUCUUAAAAGCAAGCUCAUUACCCACUUAGCUCACACCACCUGGCGAUCCUGGAUAGGUCACAGCUGGAGGAGGCACACCAGAUCCACUAAGCUUCCAAAUAAGGCUUGUUUACAGCUAAGCUCGGUCUCCCUGGCAUCCAGCCAGGCGCCAUCUUGGGGCUGUGGCUCCCCACAAAGUGAUAUAUUUUUUAUGAUUUAUCAAUGCUUUACUGAGGAUUCAGAAAAGCAAAAUCAGCCUCAAACUAUAUAUAUCAGGCAAUGGUGAUAUACACCUUUAAUCCCAGCAGCCAGAAGCAAGGAGGUGGUGGUACACACCUUUAUUCCUA
rnacentral:lncRNA from 1 species